CGUAAUUGCUGCUGCAUUUUGCUUCGCAGUCCUGUCUAACAUCGCAGGAAUCUGAUUUUGUCACAGAUCAAAAGCAAAAAAAAAGAAAGAAAAAAAAAACAUAGGAAGAACUUGGCAGCUCUCAGAGGAGAUUUUAAUUAUGAUUUGGCAUCAGUCUGCGUUUAUGGGAUAAAAUGGACGUUGUUGAUCAAGGCUCUGUUGGAAGGAGGUAGAGAUGGAGGGAGAUUCGAGCAAACGAGGGAGGGAGAGAGAUUCCGGAGCUGGUCAAAAACCCGCCAUCCUCAGGAACUUGCUGACAAGCCACGCGAGCCGGGACCCCACACUGAAAGCGGGGCCGCCUGGCUUCCCACAGAAUUUUCCCUAAAAAAAUAAAAAAUGUAAAAACCAAAACAUCUUUACAGAAA